GCCCCUGUGGCCUAAUGGAUAAGGCGCUGGUCUCCUAAACCAGAGAUUUGUGGGUUCGAGUCCCACCAGGGGUA